rnacentral:rRNA from 1 species
ACAGUGAUGUGAAGCGAAACCCAAAAAGCAGUCACAGUUCGGAUUGAAGGCUGAAAUUCGCCUUCAUGAAGCCGGAAUUGCUAGUAAUGGCAGGUCAGCAUACUGCCGUGAAUACGUUCCCGGGCCUUGUACACACCGCCCGUCACACCAUGGGAGCUGGUAACACCCGAAGUCAGUAGUCUAACCGCAAGGAGGACGCUGCCGAAGGUGGGAUUAGCGACUGGGGUGAAGUCGUAACAAGGUACC